AGAGUUUGAUCCUGGCUCAGGAUGAACGCUGGCGGCGUGCUUAACACAUGCAAGUCGAACGAACCUUCGGGUUAGUGGCGGACGGGUGAGUAACGCGUGAGAAUCUGCCCUCAGGAGGGGGACAACAGCUGGAAACGGCUGCUAAUACCCCAUAUGCCGAGAGGUGAAAUGAAUUUCGCCUGAGGAUGAGCUCGCGUCUGAUUAGCUAGUUGGUGAGGUAAAGGCUCACCAAGGCAUCGAUCAGUAGCUGGUCUGAGAGGAUGAUCAGCCACACUGGGACUGAGACACGGCCCAGACUCCUACGGGAGGCAGCAGUGGGGAAUUUUCCGCAAUGGGCGAAAGCCUGACGGAGCAACGCCGCGUGAGGGAUGAAGGCCUCUGGGCUGUAAACCUCUUUUCUCAAGGAAGAAGAUCUGACGGUACUUGAGGAAUAAGCCACGGCUAAUUCCGUGCCAGCAGCCGCGGUAAUACGGGAGUGGCAAGCGUUAUCCGGAAUUAUUGGGCGUAAAGCGUCCGCAGGCGGCCCAUCAAGUCUGCUGUUAAAAAGUGGAGCUUAACUCCAUCAUGGCAGUGGAAACUGUUGGGCUAGAGUGUGGUAGGGGCAGAGGGAAUUCCCGGUGUAGCGGUGAAAUGCGUAGAUAUCGGGAAGAACACCAGUGGCGAAGGCGCUCUGCUGGGCCAUAACUGACGCUCAUGGACGAAAGCCAGGGGAGCGAAAGGGAUUAGAUACCCCUGUAGUCCUGGCCGUAAACGAUGAACACUAGGUGUCGGGGGAAUCGACCCCCUCGGUGUCGUAGCCAACGCGUUAAGUGUUCCGCCUGGGGAGUACGCACGCAAGUGUGAAACUCAAAGGAAUUGACGGGGGCCCGCACAAGCGGUGGAGUAUGUGGUUUAAUUCGAUGCAACGCGAAGAACCUUACCAGGGUUUGACAUCCUGCGAAUUUCUGGGAAACCGGAAAGUGCCUUCGGGAGCGCAGUGACAGGUGGUGCAUGGCUGUCGUCAGCUCGUGUCGUGAGAUGUUGGGUUAAGUCCCGCAACGAGCGCAACCCACGUCUUUAGUUGCCAGCAUUUAGUUGGGCACUCUAGAGAGACCGCCGGUGAUAAACCGGAGGAAGGUGUGGAUGACGUCAAGUCAUCAUGCCCCUUACAUCCUGGGCUACACACGUACUACAAUGCUACGGACAAAGGGCAGCAAACUCGCGAGAGCUAGCAAAUCCCAUAAACCGUGGCUCAGUUCAGAUCGUAGGCUGCAACUCGCCUACGUGAAGGAGGAAUCGCUAGUAAUCGCAGGUCAGCAUACUGCGGUGAAUACGUUCCCGGGCCUUGUACACACCGCCCGUCACACCAUGGAAGUUGGCCACGCCCGAAGCCGUUACUCCAACCCUUGUGGAGGAGGACGUCGAAGGUGGGGCUGAUGACUGGGGUGAAGUCGUAACAAGGUAACC
rnacentral:rRNA from 1 species